UUUUUUUAAAACAUGGUCUUUUGUUUAUAUAAAAGAUCUGGCCUGCCCAAUGAUAUUAAUUUUAAUGGCUGCAGUAUUUUGACUGUACAAAGGUAGCAUAAUCAUUUGUCUUUUAAUUGAAGUCUGGAAUGAAUGGUUGGAUGAAAGGUUUACUUUCUUUAUUUUAAAUUUAAAAGUUAAUUUUUAGAUUAGAAAGUCUAAAUAUUAAUAUAGGACGAGAAGACCCUAUAGAACUUUAUUUAUAAAUUAAUAAAUAUUAUUUUGUUAAUCAUUAAUGUAUAUUAAUUUAUAAAUUUUAUUGGGGUGAUAAAAAAAAUUUUUUAACUUUUUUUAAUUUUAUCAUUUGUAAAUGUUUUUUUGAUCCUUUAUUAAAGAUUAUAAGAAUAAGUUACCUUAGGGAUAACAGCGUUAUUAUUUUAGGGAGCUCAUAUCUAUAAAAUAGUUUGCGACCUCGAUGUUGGAUUAAAAUUAGCUUCAGGAGUAGAAUAUUGAAGGCUAAGUCUGUUCGACUUUUAAAUUUUUACAUGAUCUGAUCA
rnacentral:rRNA from 1 species